rnacentral:misc_RNA from 1 species
AUUAGAUACUCGAGAAGCUAAUGACAAUGCUCCUAGGUUCAAUAACCAAUCCGCGGUCAACGGGACAACAAAAUGCGCUUUCUUCCAAAGUCCAAGUUGUACUCAACUUGCUUACCUACGGUACAAGUAUUACUGGACUAACUCUUUGUUAAAACAUAGAAUAUCCACCGAGCGUAAAGACGUUAUGUAACUCGCUAACGAGACCUCACGAGAGAAUGACUUUCCGUCACGAUGAUACUGCAUAGGAAAACUAUGAUGGGGUGUGUCUAAAGACACGAGAUCAUCGGAUUCGUCGAG